GAUGAACGCUAGCGGCGUGCCUUAGGCAUGCAAGUAGAACGGGUCCAGCACCAGCAAUGGUGCUGGACCAGUUGCAAACGGCUGAGUAUAAGAUAGGAAUCUUCCCAAUGGUGUGGAAUACCUCAUCGAAAGAUGGGCUAAUACCGCAUAACUCCGUAAGGGAAAAGCGCUUAACUGCGCGCCGAUGGAUGAGCCUAUCCCCCAUCAGUUAGUUGGUAGGGUAAUGGCCCACCAAGGCGACGAUCCGUAGCUGGUCUGAGAGGAUGAUCAGCCACACUGGAACUGAGACACGGUCCAGACUCCUACGGGAGGCAGCAGUGGGGAAUAUUGGACAAUGGGCGCAAGCCUGAUCCAGCCAUACCGCGUGGGUGAAGAAGGCCUUCGGGUUGUAAAGCCCUUUUGUUGGGAAAGAAAUCCAGCUGGCUAAUACCCGGUUGGGAUGACGGUACCCAAAGAAUAAGCACCGGCUAACUUCGUGCCAGCAGCCGCCGUAA
rnacentral:rRNA from 1 species